ensembl:lncRNA
CUCUGUUUGUGUGUUUCUGCACCAGACAGAACUGUUCCGGUUGUUCUCUUUGUUGUUUUGUUAUUCAGUGGUCAGAUCUAUUAAUAAAUCAUGAACACGUACCACGCUGCACCUUGGUCCUCUUCUUCAAACAGCCGUUACACAUAAGGAAAUAGAUUGAGCCUUGCUUGGAAACGUAUUGUAAUUGUACCAGGAAUUACCGUGAUGUGUCCAAUAUUUUACUGCAGAGAAUCUUGAGCCUUGAUGGGAUAGGACACAUGGGAGACAGAGGUCUCCUUCUGCCUCUUCAGAUCAGAGAUGCCCCUCACCAAAGAGAUGCAAAGGCUCAGACCCUUUUCCUAUGCCGGAAGCAAGUAUGACACAUUUAUUUUUAAACCCUUUUUAAUGAAAUUGAAAUGAGGCUGUUAUAUUUGGAAUGUGAAACUAGGCCUAUAUCUCCUGUGUGAGAGCCGUGACCUUCAGUCGCCACAGUCCGCUUGAGGAAUUCCUCUUCAACCUGAAGGAGACUGAAGAUACACUAAAGAUGGAAGAGCAGCUAAUGAUUUUGGAAAAUUCAUCAUGAGAAAUUACAUGUUUUAUUGAUGUCUCGAAGUUGGGGGGAGAAGACAUACCGGACCGGGUGACCAGAGCAAUGCACUGCAGGGGGGAGUCUUGGCGAAUCAAAGGCUACUGAGGCAGAAAUACUUCAGGCGAUGUCAACCUGAAACAUGCAUCUGACCGCAAGGCAGGCAGUGGGAGAAAUGCAUUUGUUUAUUUUGUGAUCUUUAUGGGUUUGCACAUCUAUUUUUGGUGCAAUACAUUUUCAUUUCAAUCGUUCUCGACUUUGAUUAAAAAAAUACAUCACAGUUAUUACAUGAACAAAGGUUUCCACAACGCUGUUCCAAGUCCCUGUUCCAAGUCCCUGUUCCAAGUCCCUGUUCCAAGUCCCUGUUCCAAGUCCCUGUUCCUAUCCCAAGUCCCUGUUCCAAGUCCCUGUUCCUGUUCCAAGUCCCUGUUCCAAGUCCCUGUUCCAAGUCCCUGUUCCAAGUCCCUGUCCCAAGUCCCUGUUCCUAUCCCAAGUCCCUGUACCAAGUCCCUGUUCCAAGUCCCUGUUCCAAGUCCCUGUCCCAAGUCCCUGUCCCAAGCCCCUGUUCCAAGUCCCUGUUCCAAGUCCCUGUUCCAAGUCCCUGUCCCAAGUCCCUGUCCCAAGCCCCUGUUCCAAGUCCCUGUUCCUGUCCCAAGCCCCUGUCCCAAGUCCCUGUUCCUGUCCCAAGUCCCUGUCCCAAGUCCCUGUUCCUGUUCCAUGUCGCUGUUCCAUGUCGCUGUUCCAAGUCCCUGUCCCAAGUCCCUGUUCCAAGUCCCUGUUCCUGUUCCAUGUCGCUGUUCCAUGUCGCUGUUCCAAGUCCCUGUCCCAAGUCCCUGUUCCAAGUCCCUGUUCCUGUUCCAUGUCGCUGUUCCAAGUCCCAAGUCCCUGUCCCAAGUCCCUGUUCCAAGUCCCUGUUCCAAGUCCCUGUUCCAAGUCCCUGUUCCUGUUCCAUGUCGCUGUUCCAUGUCGCUGUUCCAAGUCCCUGUUCCAUGUCGCUGUUCCAUGUCGCUGUUCCAAGUCCCUGUUCCUGUCCCAAGACCCUGUCCCAAGUCCCUGUUCCAAGUCCCUGUUCCAAGUCCCUUCUCCUGUCCCAAGUCCCUGUCCCAAGUCCCUGUUCCUGUUCCAUGUCGCUGUUCCAAGUCCCUGUUCCUGUCCCAAGUCCCUGUUCCUGUUCCAAGUCCCUGUUCCAUGUCCCUGUUCCAUGUCCCUGUUCCAUGUCCCUGUUCCAAGUCCCUGUUCCAAGUCCCUGUUUCACAGAAUACCAACAGUUGUGUGGACCAUAAAUCUGGAAGAUACAUUUUCAUCAGGGGGUUUAAAGAGUGUACAACAUCAGAACGGUCCUGGUUGAUAGUUUGUUUUCCUGUUCUUAG